GGAUGUGAGCUAAUUACCAUUGUCCAUGCCACAAGACGUUUAAGUCACCUGGCUCGUAUAAUUGAUUUUUUCACCAGCAAGCUGUUUGGUAUUCUUGCCAAUGGUUGCUUCAAACAUUUGAUUACGCCGGUUUAGGCAUGAAUUCCUAAUUCCAGGAGUCACAUGUUUGCUAUGGAUGGUGUGGUUUGCAGGGACCAGUUGGGGGGUAACGACUGCAGGGGAUUUAUCCAUGGCUGAUUGGAUGUAAAUAGGCCUGCCGUUUACAAGGGGGAUUUCCAUCUCGUCCGUUAUUCUUAAUGGCAAUUUAUCAACAGGAGGGAAUACCAGCUCCGGGGUAAAGUGAGGGCUUGCCAUUGCAAUAGAGUCGGGAUGCAAAUUGCUCGCCCGUCGUUCAUUAACCCUAUUUCUAUAGUCUCUGUUUGUUUGUCUUCUUUUUUCUAUAUUGUCUUGUGGCGUCCUAAAUAAUCUCUUUGCAGAAUUUACAGAAUACGAAUCACGCCGCCUCUUAUUUAUUAUAGCCCUCUGCCCAGGAG
rnacentral:lncRNA from 1 species